UAGGGAAUCUUCCACAAUGGGCGCAAGUCUGAUGGAGCAACGCCGCGUGAGUGAAGAAGGUCUUCGGAUCGUAAAACUCUGUUGUUAGAGAAGAACACGAGUGAGAGUAACUGUUCAUUCGAUGACGGUAUCUAACCAGCAAGUCACGGCUAACUACGUGCCCG
rnacentral:rRNA from 1 species